rnacentral:rRNA from 1 species
AGCGAACGCUGGCGGCAUGCUUAACACAUGCAAGUCGAACGGAGAUAUAGGAUUAGUUUACUAUGAAUAUAUUUUAGUGGCGGACGGGUGAGUAACACGUGGGCAACCUGCCUUAGAGUGGGGGAUAACAACGAGAAAUCGUUGCUAAUACCGCAUGAAAUUAGAUUAUCGCAUGAUAGUUUAAUGAAAGGAGAAAUCCGCUAAAAGAUGGGCCCGCGCCUGAUUAGCUAGUUGGUGAGGUAAAAGCUCACCAAGGUGACGAUCAGUAGCCGAUCUGAGAGGAUGACCGGCCACACUGGAACUGAGACACGGUCCAGACUCCUACGGGAGGCAGCAGGUGGGGAAUAUUGCACAAGUGGGGGAAACCCUGAUGCAGCAACGCCGCGUGGAGGAAGAAGGUUUUCGGAUUGUAAACUCCUGUCUUUUGGGACGAUAAUGACGGUACCAAAAGAGGAAGCCACGGCUAACUACGUG